rnacentral:rRNA from 1 species
GGACCCGCACAAGCAGUGGAGCAUGUGGUUUAAUUCGAUGCAACGCGAAAAACCUUACCUACUCUUGACAUACUUGGAAGCUCUUGUAAUGAGAGUGUACCUUUUGGAACCAAGAUACAGGUGCUGCAUGGCUGUCGUCAGCUCGUGUCGUGAGAUGUUCCGUUAAGUCGGAUAACGAGCGCAACCCUUACCCUUAUUUGCCAGCGAUUCGGUCGGGAACUAUAAGGGGACUGCCGGUGAUAAACCGGAGGAAGGUGAGGACGACGUCAAGUCAUCAUGGCCCUUACGAGUAGGGCUACACACGUGCUACAAUGGGGAAUACAGACGGACGCUAAGCCGCGAGGUG